GGGUGGUAUGGGACGCUACAGACACAUUAUUAAUUUAUCACUGAAACAAGCUUACUUCUCCUAAAAUAUACAUUGAUAUAUUUAUACCGAAUAAUUUGGUGUGGAAUUGUCUGUGGAAACCUUGUUUAGAACUGUCUCUUCAAUUCAAACAUGUUCAGAGAAAAUUAUAUCCAGUUAAUGAAGCGGAUUGAGUGGACCUCCUUCAAGAUUGUCCCUGUGAAGUACAUAUUUACUACGGACCAUGGGAGCUGCUUAGACUUGAAACGUGCACCUUAAUGUUCUCCACUCCAGCUGACCUUCUCCACGUCAUCGUCAUCUUCAUCAACAAGAUCACGAAUGCUGUUCACUGCCUGCUUGGAUUCCUUUAGCUACAAAAAGUAAAUCUUAGAAACAACAUUGCAACAGCCAUUUCUAAUUGCACACUGUGUUACAGGUUUAACGACGUCUGUCCUUAAUAUGACAACGUGCCAUGACAUUGACAAAGGAUAAUUUCUGAGCUAUUUACCUUGGUAUAGUCAUCAUCAUCGUCCUCAAACGUGAAAGCUUUGACCUUUAAAUUCGAACUGUUCCAAUAGUCUUCCUCAUCCGGCUUAACCCUUAUCAUCUGAAGAAAAAAAGAACAAAUCACGUCCACUACUACUAUAGCCACCAAUUGACCAGCUGUUUACAAAACUGAAACUGGGUGACAGAAGUGGCUAGUUAGCUAGCCUCGUCUGUGUUGUUUUGAAUACUACGAUCUAAACUGUUAAACCAACCAUAGUGCACGCUAUGUGAUGUACGAGAAGUGAUUUGCUGCUUAACCUAAUAACGUUAUUAAAUCAAACAGAUAACAGCUAGAAGUGUUAGCCUACUGUAUGCCCCUUAAUUGAUAUCUGGUUUACUCGGCUGGGAUGAAGCUUUCUGGAGGCUGCAAAUAGGUAGAGCUACAGU